GACGAACGCUGGCGGCGUGCCUAAUACAUGCAAGUCGAGCGAACAGACGAGGAGCUUGCUCCUCUGACGUUAGCGGCGGACGGGUGAGUAACACGUGGAUAACCUACCUAUAAGACUGGGAUAACUUCGGGAAACCGGGGCUAAUACCGGAUAAUAUAUUGAACCGCAUGGUUCAAUAGUGAAAGACGGUUUUGCUGUCACUUAUAGAUGGAUCCGCGCCGCAUUAGCUAGUUGGUAAGGUAACGGCUUACCAAGGCAACGAUGCGUAGCCGACCUGAGAGGGUGAUCGGCCACACUGGAACUGAGACACGGUCCAGACUCCUACGGGAGGCAGCAGUAGGGAAUCUUCCGCAAUGGGCGAAAGCCUGACGGAGCAACGCCGCGUGAGUGAUGAAGGUCUUCGGAUCGUAAAACUCUGUUAUUAGGGAAGAACAAAUGUGUAAGUAACUAUGCACGUCUUGACGGUACCUAAUCAGAAAGCCACGGCUAACUACGUG
rnacentral:rRNA from 1 species